UUUUUUUUUUUUUUUUUGUGUGUGUGGAGGAUCUCUUAAUAUUUUGUGAUGGUGACUCUAAUUAAUAUUUGGUGACUCUAAUUAAUUGACUUUAAUUAUUUGAAGAAAAAAAAAAAAGACAGCCAAAGAGGAGGAGAAUGGUGUGGCCACUGGUUCGAUAAAACCAAUCGCCGGAAUUCGCGCGUUUUGUUUUAACCAAAAUCUUAUGAUUAUAAGAUUCUCUCACUAUGAAAAAAGGAAGACAUUCUUCAUCAAUCAUCACCAUAAGCAUUAAGCAAGCAUUUUCCUUUAUUUCAUAUAAAUAAAUCAAUCUUAUUUAAAAACAACAAAUCUUAUUAUAAUACAUAAUUAAAUGAAAAUAGCUUCUUUUUGUGCCAACGAAUAAUUCAAUUAACAAAUCUCCAAAAGUAACAUGACAUAUUGACAUUAGCGGAAAUAAAUCUAUAAUAAUGAAAUGUGGAGGAGCAUGUGGGUCGUGUCACGUCAUGGGUAUAAUUGCAUUUGCAUUAGCAAACCUAUAUAACAUUAAGCACUUCAGAGUUCAAAUUGUAACAAAUUGAAAACUCAUUGAUGAGUUUGUUGCCUAGCAUUGGGAUAUAUAAUGUGAUGGUAGUGGAACUGUGGAAGGGGAAGUCUGGGAAGAUACAAAUUUAGACUACCCUUUUCUAAUCGCGAUGUUGGUGAUGGAGGAACAGUAUUGAUGUAUCCUCGAUAUAUAUAUUUUUUAUUUGUUAAAAACUUUUGGCUACUUGUUUUUUUUUUUUUUGGCUUUAUUAAUCUUCCCCAAAAAGAGGCAUCGUUUAAAAGACUACAUUCGAAAUACAAAGAUGGAAUUAAAUAAAGCAGAAAAUAGUAGAUUUUUGAAACUCAUGUGAAGCAAUAAAUAGUGACCAUAGUGAAACACGGAGGUUGGAUUAGCCUUGAAUGAAUCUGAACCAAUUAGCAAGGAAGGAUUCGUAAUUGUGAGGAACCGUACGUUACGUGGAGGAAGAACUGUUUAGAUGUUGAAUUAGUCUCCUAUCAAGACAUGCGAGCUUUGCUCUAAGUAUGAGUUGAAUCUCCUUUACUAUGACUUGAGGAACGUGGGUUAGAACCAGAGGAAUGGAGCCUCGAGUUUCCCUCUCCCCACAAACAAUAAACAACAGCUUGAAAGAUAUAUGAGCUUACAUAUAGUUUUGAGUUUCGCGUUUCCCGAAGAGGAACGUACCAAGACGACGAUUUCUUCAAACAAAGCUGCAGGAGAGAUGUCUUAGUUGGUGAAAAAAGAAGACGAGACUUCAGAUGAGAAAGAACAAGCGAAGAAAAUGUGAGAUCUACUUUCUUUUUUUUUUCAGUGUGUAAUCACAUAUGUUGAAUGCAUUCUUGCAAAUUGUUGGUGCAUAUAAUUGUAUUUUUCUCAUGAGAUGUGGUUGAUGGUUUGUAAGCCAAUUUCCCUGGGCAUGUGUAUUUAUAGGAAAUAAAGUUCAACAUUUAUUCGAUGAAUAUUUGAUAAUACGUACUUUAAUUUGAGUAGAGAAGGUGAUAAAAACAAUAUGCGUAACUAAAAUAACAUUUUUUAUUUGUACCGUCGGGAAACUUCAAUAUAUGUUUGCAUGUAAGAUAAUACGUUUACAUGAAAAUAAAAUAGGAGAUUUUAGUAGUUUUAACUUUGAUAAUUAACAUAUAACAUUUUAAUAGUUUAUCAAAUAAAAAACAUUUUAAUAUUCAUGAAGCUUGAUAGAGUGAUUCGUGACGCUUGCUGCGCAAAAUGUCAUCUUCGCCCUCGAUACAUGGAGACCCUUUCUUUGUGUGACUGCUGCAAGACACACUCUCAUGGUAAUGUUGAUUUAUUGAUCUGGUUUAAGUUAAACCGUUUAACUAACGGGAAUGUCUUGUUGUAGGCAAUUAUUACCACCAUUCUUUUUUCAUGUAAUUGUCUUUUCAAAAGAGAAUUAAAAUCAGAAAUUAUAACAAGAAGAGUAGUAAAAAAAAAAGAAUGAAUUUUUGUCUAUAAUUGCAAGGCCAAUACGUAGCAACAACAAUAAUAAGCCCAGGGCAUUGGUGUUAGGAGCAUAAAAGCAUCUCCAACAGUAAUUUUUGGAGGAAUAUCUCAAGAUUAAAAAAAUAGAAAAUAAUAUAAAAAGCAAGAGAGUGUAGACAUAGUUUCUGGUUUGAGAAACUUUGAGAAACUGUAUCUCCACUUGUCUUCUUAUUAUUGGCCAAAUUCUUUUUUUAUAAUUUAUAAUUUAAAUAAAUAAUUUAUUUAUUAUAAAUUGAUUAAAAUAAUAUUUUUGAGACACUCACACAGUGUCUGAUGGAUGGAGAUGCUCUAAUGGGAAAUAAAGCAAAAAGCAAAACCUGAGACGUCGAUCGCCUUAAUCCUACACCGGAUCUUGAAUAUGAUCCACCCAUUAACCGGCUUUGCGGUUCAUCAACAUCUGAGCCACCAAGGCAGAGACUUGGAGGAAACCGCCGGCAGCUAAGAGACCGAAACGAUGAUGAUCUAGCAGAUUGUGGAAUUCGAGUACCGGUUCUUGACACAACCGGUCUACAACUGUAAUGAGGGUUAGUGAGGAGAGCUGUGUCUAAGACAUCAGAGGAGCAAGUGCAAAAGGACAAGGAGAUGCUUGUUCUUGAUGAUGUUGUUGUUGUUGCUGUUAUUGUAUGGGGAAGUUUGGUGAAAGAUACAAUGCCGUUGCGACAGAGAGGACAUGGGACAGAGCCUGGGGUGGCUUGUGAUGUCUUUGAUGAUGUUAUGUUUGUGGUGCUUAGGUAUAAUGCGCAGUUUGUGCAGAACUCAUGAGCACAUCCUGUUAUGUCACACACAACAAUCAAUUGAACGUUUUAAGCAAGAUCAAUUUUGAUAGGGAAAUCGAUACAUUACCAUCUGCUGCUACAGUGCAUUUUCUUUCCAAACAAACGGCACAAGGGUCACGACAUGGAGUGAGACAAUCGUUUUCUCGCCAGCCGCAUUCUCUGAAAUCCACAUACGAAAAAAGACCAAUCAGCCACAGAGAUUCUAGCGAUCAUACAGGGUGUUUCAGUUAGGUGAAAGAUUUACAUACUGAGCAAUCUUGACAAUGCUCAUUAAAGGAAGGCAGAGGAAAGGAGAGGGGACAUUUGGCAAAUGGAGUUGUGGUUGUUCUGUGGUUGGGUUCAGGAUUUCUUCCAGCCAGUUCCGGUGCCAUGAACGAGCAACCAUCAAUGGCGUCCAUCUAAAACCAAAAACAUGAAGCGAACUAAGACAUUGAGGUCUAUAUCAAACUGUUGGAUUGGAUUUAGCAGGCAGAGGAAUAGAGAGAUCUAAUACCCGUUGGAGUUUACGGCAGCUAAACAAGCACCCUUACUGAUCAAAAGCUGAGAAAAACAAAUGCCAAAUGAAUUCAUAUCUGAACUUUAAACGAAACAUAACAGAAGCAAAACUUUUUGAAAAAGAAAAAUCGAAUUGUUCGGCAUCAUGAUUGUCUAGUUAAGCAUGUAUACCUGGCAACACUGCGUGUUUCCGCCACAUGAAGCAUAAUGAAGAGCUGUACUCCCAGCACCUUCAAUAUACAAAACCAAAGAGCCAGAGCGAAAAACAAAACUAAGUCUUUCACUUAAAAGAAUCUCUCCAUUCAUUAUCAAAGUUAAUCAAUUGGGGAAAAUGAUAAUAACCUAUAAGAUCUAUUGUGGUUCCAUCUUCCACUGUGACCUGAGUAACCGAAGCUCCCAAAUCCAAGAGCAACUGCACCGUCUCUAUGUGUCCGUUCAAAGCCGCUACAUGAAGAGGUGUGAUUCCUUAUAUGAUUUGGAAUCGUAUAAUAAAAGCUAAAGAACCUCAAAAAAGAUCAUAAUUUUUUUGGAGACAAGAAUAAAGAUUUUGUGUGUGUUUAAUAUAAGAAAGAAGUUGUGUGUUUUGCUAUGGAGGACUGAUUCUUUGAGAAACUGAAUAAAGAAACAUAUGUGUCCAGUGACAGUCGUACGGAUCUGCUCAGGAUCUUGUAAGCUGAUAAGAUAAAUCUUUAGAUAUAAUACACCUUUUUAAUUAUUUUAUUUCCCAAUUUUUUUUUUGGGUUCAAAUCCUUGGAAUAAAUGGAAACAGGAAAAAUUAAUAAUGAUUUUUGUCACAAAUGGACCACCAAUCUCUCUUAUAGAUCCUCAUGGGCCAUGUCUAAGAUUCUUUAUCCUCCUUCCUUGUAAGAUCAUCUAAGAAUCACAAUCCAGAGUGACUGGUUUGGUUUAUCUGAUUGAAACCCCACAAGUAGCUAAGUGGAUAUUUGUAGGUAAUACGUUGCAAACCAUGCAAUGGUGGACUUGCACUACUUGAGCCAAAGGACAAAGAAAUUGGAACUAAGUUAAACCAAAAUCUAGUUUAGCAGAGAGCUAUCAAAACGGAGAUUGAAACAACGUUGUUUGUCAAAAAGCUUAUACGAACAAAGUUAUAAAUUAAUUCAAAAUGUGACAAAAAUAAACAUCUUUUUCUUUUUCCAACUGAGUUUGCGAAUAACAAAGCAAAACGCUAGCGAAGAGGAGAAGUAUCAACUGAGUUUACUACUUGAUGGUAGCCUUGGGGAUACUGGAAGUGCAAGGUCCAGCCGAGGUCAUGAAUGGUAUGCCUUUGUAUGUGGCUACGCCAUUCUCAUCAGUGUAGA
rnacentral:lncRNA from 1 species